rnacentral:rRNA from 1 species
AGAGUUUGAUCCUGGCUCAGAUUGAACGCUGGCGGUAUGCUUAACACAUGCAAGUCGAACGGUAACAGGCCUUCGGGCGCUGACGAGUGGCGGACGGGUGAGUAACGCGUAGGAAUCUGCCUCAUAGUGGGGGACAACGUGGGGAAACCCACGCUAAUACCGCAUACGCCCUACGGGGGAAAGGAGGGGAUCUUCGGACCUUUCGCUAUGAGAUGAGCCUGCGUUAGAUUAGCUAGUUGGUGGGGUAAAGGCCUACCAAGGCGACGAUCUAUAGCUGGUCUGAGAGGAUGAUCAGCCACACUGGGACUGAGACACGGCCCAGACUCCUACGGGAGGCAGCAGUGGGGAAUUUUGGACAAUGGGGGCAACCCUGAUCCAGCCAUGCCGCGUGAGUGAAGAAGGCCUUAGGGUUGUAAAGCACUUUCAAUGGGGAGGAAAACCUGCCGGUCAAUACCCGGUAGCUUGACAUUACCUAUAGAAGAAGCACCGGCUAACUCCGUGCCAGCAGCCGCGGUAAUACGGAGGGUGCGAGCGUUAAUCGGAAUUACUGGGCGUAAAGCGUGCGUAGGCGGUUCGUUAAGUCAGAUGUGAAAGCCCUGGGCUCAACCUGGGAGCGGCAUUUGAAACUGGCGGACUAGAGUUUAGUAGAGGGGAGUGGAAUUUCAGGUGUAGCGGUGAAAUGCGUAGAUAUCUGAAGGAACACCAGUGGCGAAGGCGACUCCCUGGACUAGAACUGACGCUGAGGUACGAAAGCGUGGGUAGCAAACAGGAUUAGAUACCCUGGUAGUCCACGCCGUAAACGAUGUCGACUAGCCGUUGGUCCUAUUUACAGGAUUAGUGGCGCAGCUAACGCAUUAAGUCGACCGCCUGGGGAGUACGGCCGCAAGGUUAAAACUCAAAUGAAUUGACGG